rnacentral:rRNA from 1 species
CUGUAAGCCUGCGAAGGUGUGUCGUGAGGCAUGCUGGAGGUAUCAGAAGUGCGAAUGCUGACAUAAGUAACGAUAAAGCGGGUGAAAAGCCCGCUCGCCGGAAGACCAAGGGUUCCUGUCCAACGUUAAUCGGGGCAGGGUGAGUCGACCCCUAAGGCGAGGCCGAAAGGCGUAGUCGAUGGGAAACGGGUUAAUAUUCCCGUACUUGGUGUUACUGCGAAGGGGGGACGGAGAAGGCUAUGUUGGCCGGGCGACGGUUGUCCCGGUUUAAGCGUGUAGGUGUGUGUUCCAGGUAAAUCCGGUUCACUUUAACACUGAGGCGUGAUGACGAGGCACUACGGUGCUGAAGCAACAAAUGCCCUGCUUCCAGGAAAAGCCUCUAAGCAUCAGGUAACAUCAAAUCGUACCCCAAACCGACACAGGUGGUCAGGUAGAGAAUACCAAGGCGCUUGAGAGAACUCGGGUGAAGGAACUAGGCAAAAUGGUGCCGUAACUUCGGGAGAAGGCACGCUGACAUGUAGGUGAAGUGAUUUACUCAUGGAGCUGAAGUCAGUCGAAGAUACCAGCUGGCUGCAACUGUUUAUUAAAAACACAGCACUGUGCAAACACGAAAGUGGACGUAUACGGUGUGACGCCUGCCCGGUGCCGGAAGGUUAAUUGAUGGGGUCAGCGCAAGCGAAGCUCCUGAUCGAAGCCCCGGUAAACGGCGGCCGUAACUAUAACGGUCCUAAGGUAGCGAAAUUCCUUGUCGGGUAAGUUCCGACCUGCACGAAUGGCGUAAUGAUGGCCAGGCUGUCUCCACCCGAGACUCAGUGAAAUUGAACUCGCUGUGAAGAUGCAGUGUACCCGCGGCAAGACGGAAAGACCCCGUGAACCUUUACUAUAGCUUGACACUGAACAUUGAGCCUUGAUGUGUAGGAUAGGUGGGAGGCUUUGAAGUGUGGACGCCAGUCUGCAUGGAGCCGACCUUGAAAUACCACCCUUUAAUGUUUGAUGUUCUAACGUGGACCCGUGAUCCGGGUUGCGGACAGUGUCUGGUGGGUAGUUUGACUGGGGCGGUCUCCUCCUAAAGAGUAACGGAGGAGCACGAAGGUUGGCUAAUCCUGGUCGGACAUCAGGAGGUUAGUGCAAUGGCAUAAGCCAGCUUGACUGCGAGCGUGACGGCGCGAGCAGGUGCGAAAGCAGGUCAUAGUGAUCCGGUGGUUCUGAAUGGAAGGGCCAUCGCUCAACGGAUAAAAGGUACUCCGGGGAUAACAGGCUGAUACCGCCCAAGAGUUCAUAUCGACGGCGGUGUUUGGCACCUCGAUGUCGGCUCAUCACAUCCUGGGGCUGAAGUAGGUCCCAAGGGUAUGGCUGUUCGCCAUUUAAAGUGGUACGCGAGCUGGGUUUAGAACGUCGUGAGACAGUUCGGUCCCUAUCUGCCGUGGGCGCUGGAGAACUGAGGGGGGCUGCUCCUAGUACGAGAGGACCGGAGUGGACGCAUCACUGGUGUUCGGGUUGUCAUGCCAAUGGCACUGCCCGGUAGCUAAAUGCGGAAGAGAUAAGUGCUGAAAGCAUCUAAGCACGAAACUUGCCCCGA